rnacentral:rRNA from 1 species
UGGGGAAUCUUCCGCAAUGGACGAAAGUCUGACGGAGCAACGCCGCGUGAGUGAAGACGGCCUUCGGGGGGUAAAGCUCUGUUAUUCGGGAAGAACGAUUUGUUUGUGAACAAUGAACGGUAGUGACGGUACCGAAAGAGAAAGCCACGGCUAACUACGUGCCAGCAGCCGCGGUAAUACGUAGGUGGCAAGCGUUGUCCGGAAUUAUUGGGCGUAAAGAGCGCGUGGGCGGUAUGGUAAGUCUGUCUUAGAAGUGCGGGGCAUAACCCCGUGAGGGGACAGCGACUGUCAUACAGGAGUCUCGGAGAGGAAAGCGGAAAUCCUAGUGUUGCGGUGAAGUGCGUAGAGAUAAGGAAGAACACCGGUGGCGGAGGCGGCUUUCUGGACGAGCACUGACGCUGAGGCGCGAAAGCGUGGGGAGCGAACAGG